CUACGGGUUGCUGCAGGCGCGAAACCUUUACAAUGCACGAAAGUGUGAUAAGGGGAUUCCAAGUGCUCAUGCUUUGCAUGGGCUUUUGCCAAGAGUAAAUAUCUUGGCGAAUAAGUGGUGGGCAAGACUGGUGCCAGCCGCCGCGGUAACACCAGCGCCACGAGUGGGAAUCACAUUUAUUGGGCCUAAAGCGUCCGUAGCCGGCUUGAUAAAUUUCUUGUGAAAUUGUUUAGCUCAACUAAACAACGUGCAGGAAAGACUGUCUUGCUUGAGACCAGGAGGAGCUAGAAGUAUUCCUAGGGGAGCGGUAAAAUGUUAUAAUCCUAGGAGGACUACCUGUGGCGAAGGCGUCUAGCUAGAAUGGGUCUGACGGUGAGGGACGAAAGCUAGGGGAGCAAACCGGAUUAGAUACCCCCGUAGUC
rnacentral:rRNA from 1 species